rnacentral:rRNA from 1 species
AUUGAACGCUGGCGGCAGGCCUAAGACAUGCAAGUCGAGCGAGAAAGUACUUCGGUACGAGUACAGCGGCGGACGGGUGAGUAACGCGUAGGAAUCUACCUAGUAGUGGGGGACAACUCGUGGAAACGCGAGCUAAUACCGCAUACGCCCUACGGGGGAAAGCGGGGGAUCUUCGGACCUCGUGCUAUUAGAUGAGCCUGCGUAAGAUUAGCUAGUUGGUGGGGUAAAGGCCUACCAAGGCGACGAUCUUUAGCUGGUCUGAGAGGAUGAUCAGCCACACCGGGACUGAGACACGGCCCGGAUCUCCUACGGGAGGCAGCAGUCGGGAAUAUUGCGCAAUGGGCGAAAGCCUGACGCAGCCAUGCCGCGUGUGUGAAGAAGGCCCUAGGGUUGUAAAGCACUUUCAAUUGGGAGGAAAAGCUAAUGGCUAAUAGCCAUUAGCCCUGACGUUACCUUUAGAAGAAGCACCGGCUAACUCCGUGCCAGCAGCCGCGGUAAUACGGAGGGUGCAAGCGUUAAUCGGAAUUACUUGGGCGUAAAGCGCGCGUAGGCGGCUCUUUAAGUCGGAUGUGAAAGCCCCGGGCUCAACCUGGGAACUGCAUCCGAUACUGGGGAGCUAGAGUGUAGGAGAGGGAGGUAGAAUUCCAUGUGUAGCAGUGAAAUGCGUAGAUAUAUGGAGGAAUACCAGUGGCGAAGGCGGCCUCCUGGCUUAACACUGACGCUGAGGUGCGAAAGCGUGGGGAGCAAACGGGAUUANAUACCCCGGUAGUCCACGCCGUAAACGAUGUCUACUAGCUGUAGGGGUACUUGAGACCU